UUAAAAAAGUUUUGAUUAGGCGCAAAUUAGUUGCUUAAUAGGGAAGUUCGGUGAAAAUCCGAUACGGUCCCGCCACUGUAAAUGCUAAGAAUCUCACAUUCUAGUAAAGCCACUGUUAAGAAAUGGGAAGGCUAUGAGAUUCGUUUGAGGCAUGAGUCAGGAGACCUACCUAAUCGAGAACACCCAA
rnacentral:ncRNA from 1 species